GGGAGAGCGGCCAGUUUGUGCUGUGGGUGAUCUCAUUAGAAUGGAGGAGCAGCUGUCCCUCCCAUCCUUGCAGCCAGCCUGCCAGGUAGAACGUGCCUGAGCGGGAGCUCCAUCACAGCAGGCCGGCGGCCUACCCUGGCAGACACCCACCUGCCUGCUGCCUGCUUCCCACCAGCCACAUUCRCUUCCUCUUGAAAGCCCAUCCGGAACUUUCCGCACAGCCUAGGACCUGCCAGCAGGAAGCUGGAGAGGAGGGUUGCUCACCUUUCUUGGCUCUUUCUCUUUCUAAUCUGCAAGAGGAGUUGCACGUCGAGAGGUCCCGAGACUCCUGCGUCUCAUACCCAAGGCUCUUGUUGAAUCCAGUGGGGAAGGAAGCCACACCAGUUAUUUCAGCAGGAAGCACUGACURUAAAGAACUGUUAACCAGGAACUGGAGGACUGGAAAGGAACACAGGACACCUGCAGUAUCAGGAAAGCUACCCGGGAAGCCACAACACGCAUGUAAGGGGUGGAGAGACCCAGGCCCCAGCUGCCUGAGCAAGGUCCCCUGCUAACCUGGAGCUGCCACCUCAAGAUCCCCGAGGAAGAGCCGGGGCUGGGACUCAGAUUUCUGAGGAGGUGCGCCAUGGGCUGUUGCUUGACCUCUCCGAGGGCACAGGCUGGGUCUGGGAAGGGGCAGAUGAAAAUCAGCCAUUACCACCGCAAGCAAACCACUGGGCGGCCAGGGUGAGACCAAACUGCUGAGGGGAGCAGAUUCCUCCCUGUCUUCAGCCGCCGAGCCUCCCUCGGCCACUCCCACCAGCACAGUCCAAGGAGAGACAGCUGGCAAAGGCGUGGUUUGCAGGUCUCUGGUCCAGCUAGUAGAGUGGAGUAUAAAAGGAAAGUGAGCUGGGCGCUAUAAUCCGAGUGACUCUGGAGACUGAGGCAGGAGGAUCGCAAGUUUGAGGCCAGCCUCAGCAACUUAGUGGGGUCCUAAGCGAUUAUCGAAACCCUGUCACCAAAUAAAAAGUAAAAAGGGCUGGGGACGUGCCUUAGU
rnacentral:lncRNA from 1 species